CCUACGGGUGGCUGCAGUGGGGAAUAUUGCACAAUGGGGGAAACCCUGAUGCAGCGACGCCGCGUGAAGGAAGAAGUAUUUCGGUAUGUAAACUUCUAUCAGCAGGGGAGAAAAUGACGGUACCUGACUAAGGAGCCCCGGAUAACUACGUGCCAACAGCCGAGGUAAUACGUAGGGGGCCAGCGUUAUCCGGAUUUACCGGGUGUUAAGGGGGCGUAGGCGGUGCAGCAAGUCAGAAGUGAAAGGCAGGGGCUCAACUCCGGGACUGGCUUUGAAACUGUUGAACGAGAUUGCGGGAGAGGUAAGUGGAAUGCGUGGUGUAGCGGUGAAAUGCGUAGAUAUUACGAGGAACACCAGUGGCGAAGGCAGCUUACUGGACUGUAAAUGACGCUGAGGCUCGAAAGCGUGGGGAGCAAACAGGAUUAGAUACCCGGGUAGUC
rnacentral:rRNA from 1 species